rnacentral:rRNA from 1 species
UGAGUAGGGCGGGACACGUGGUAUCCUGUCUGAAUAUGGGGGGACCAUCCUCCAAGGCUAAAUACUCCUGACUGACCGAUAGUGAACCAGUACCGUGAGGGAAAGGCGAAAAGAACCCCGGCGAGGGGAGUGAAAAAGAACCUGAAACCGUGUACGUACAAGCAGUGGGAGCACGCUUAGGCGUGUGACUGCGUACCUUUUGUAUAAUGGGUCAGCGACUUAUAUUCUGUAGCAAGGUUAACCGAAUAGGGGAGCCGAAGGGAAACCGAGUCUUAACUGGGCGUUAAGUUGCAGGGUAUAGACCCGAAACCCGGUGAUCUAGCCAUGGGCAGGUUGAAGGUUGGGUAACACUAACUGGAGGACCGAACCGACUAAUGUUGAAAAAUUAGCGGAUGACUUGUGGCUGGGGGUGAAAGGCCAAUCAAACCGGGAGAUAGCUGGUUCUCCCCGAAAGCUAUUUAGGUAGCGCCUCGUGAAUUCAUCUCCGGGGGUAGAGCACUGUUUCGGCAAGGGGGUCAUCCCGACUUACCAACCCGAUGCAAACUGCGAAUACCGGAGAAUGUUAUCACGGGAGACACACGGCGGGUGCUAACGUCCGUCGUGAAGAGGGAAACAACCCAGACCGCCAGCUAAGGUCCCAAAGUCAUGGUUAAGUGGGAAACGAUGUGGGAAGGCCCAGACAGCCAGGAUGUUGGCUUAGAAGCAGCCAUCAUUUAAAGAAAGCGUAAUAGCUCACUGGUCGAGUCGGCCUGCGCGGAAGAUGUAACGGGGCUAAACCAUGCACCGAAGCUGCGGCAGCGACGCUGAUGCGUUGUUGGGUAGGGGAGCGUUCUGUAAGC